AUUUUCUGUGUCUACAAACACAGGAAAAGACAAAGCAACAUUAACAGGGUUCACCUAUCAAUAGCCUGUGCGCGUGUUUGAGAGGGUGAGAUAAUCUGGAGCUGAGAAGCCGGGUAACUUGCUUAUGUACCAAGCUGCUGAAGAGCAGCACUCUGGUUACAGAGUUCAGCUUGCCACGGUUACCCCAGUGGUGGUUUGAAUGAGAAUGUUGUGGGCUCAGAUGCUUGAGUGCCUGGUCUCCAGGUGGUGGUGCUAUUUGAGCAGGGUGGGAGGUGCGUCCUGGCUGGAGGGAAUCUGUCACUGGGGUGGGUUUGGCAGUUUCAAAGUCAUGCACUGUUCCCAGUGUGCUCUCUUUGCUUGGCGUCUGCAGCUCAAGCUGUGAACCCUUAGCCGCCGGCUCCUGCUGUGAAGCCUUUGUUGUGCCAUCAUGGGCUCUGACCCUCUGGAACCAUAAGCCCAAAUAAACUCCUUCUUCUCU